rnacentral:lncRNA from 1 species
UGUGCGUUGAGGAGGGUGCACCAGUGUGUGUGUGUGUGUGUGUGUGUGUGUGUGUGUGUGUGUGCAUUGAUACAGAGGCUGCCAGUAGUGGGUAAAGUGGAGUGAACUACCACUCCAUCUUUAAAGAUGAAUUUUCCCUUCUGCUCACUCCUGGCCUAUUACCCAAGUCAGUAGACGUAUUAUGGACACGCUCAGAACCUAUGAAGCCCGUUCCUCCAGCAGGCACGUGUAAAUUGUCAUCAUCCUUGGUUGGAUGGGGCAGGCUGAGUGAAUCUGUGGACUCUCUCUUGCUUCUGCUUCAGUAUCUUCAGGAUGAUGUUCUGUCCUGAGGAAGGUCAGAGAACCCAGCACAGCUGUGGUUCCAGAAAGUUCUUUGGGUGCUGGUCCAGUAUUCACAGAUGGUAUGCUGCAGACAGCCAGUGGCCAGCCACCAAGGAGUCAAGAAUGUCAAAGGGACAUCAUGCCAGCAGCUUGGUGUUUCUCAUCCCGCUGGCCCAGCUACCAGGAAAACCAGAAGAAUGACUCAAAAGCACCUGCCUAUCUUGAACAUGCCUGAACACAGAUACCAUGGUCACCUCAGACAGAUGGGGCUUGCCAAGCUGAGGUUCACAUAUGGGGAGGCCUACAGUUUGGGAAGGAUCUUUCAGCUCUUUCACUUGUGAACAUGGAGGACCAGGUGGUUGGAAGAUCAUUUGAGAUAGACCAAGGGCAAGCUUACAUGUGCAUAGAGCAGUCCCAAAGAGAUUGUUGUGACUAUCCACAUGUCAAUAGAUGAGAAUCUGACUGACACGGGCCAAUGGCUUCAUCUUCUUGGUCUUGGGUAGUCACAAGAGGCACUCUUCUUAGUCACCAGAUUGACAAAGCUACUCCUCCUAUGUAAGAACUGAGACUAGGAGCUGGGGUCUGGGACCAGCUUAGGUCUCUGGAAUAGGUCUAAACCUUUCUAUGGAGGCAAAAGCAACCCCUGCCAAGGGAGAAGUAUUUUUAUCGGUAGCUGGAAGUCUUUAGGAUAUUCUCCUAGUUCACUUCUCACCUGCAAAGUGUAGGUAAGGAAGAAAAGCAACCACCACUUGGAGUAAGGUGAUAUGCUGAGCUGGACCUGGUGGUACACGUGUAUAAUCCCAGUACUCAAGCCAGUUGGAGGCAGUCUGGGCUACAUAGUGAGCUCAAAGCCAGCCUGGGCUACACAAAUAGUUGUUACAGGAUAUUUGAACUUGUUUCUAGUUAUGUUGUACAUGGUUCAGCCCUUAGCACACACCUUUAACCCCUCUGGCUAGAAUACAGACAUAUUUUUAUGCUCACCUUUAAUCCCAAACUGAAGGUAAAGUUAGUUUGCAGAAGGACACACUUGUGUUUGAAAGUGAUAUCUAAUUGAGUGGCAGAAAAAGUGACAAAUCAGAGAAAGAUUUGACAGAAUAGGAUCUGCCCAUCUCUCAUGAGAAAAGAAAGAAAAGGGAAGCUAUUCAAGGGAGAGAGAGAGACAAUGCAAGAAGAGAGUACAGUCCAGGAUACAGUAGAGUUCAUGGAGACAGCACAGUAGGGUUGAGAGGAAGAGUAGAGCAGCCCAGAGAGGGAGAAGGAGGAGUGUGACCAGGAGAGGUUUACAGAGACAGACUGAAGAGAGAACAAGCUAGACGCAGGGAAGACAGAACGAGCCAGAGAAUGAGAAGGAGCCAAAAGAUUAGAACAUAAUGCCAAAGUUAGUAUGAGGCCAAGCAGAAUAAAAGUCAGAGGCUGAGAGAAAAGCCAGAUCGAAUCAGUGAGCUGGGAGAGGAGUUUCAGCCAGAACAGCUGAGUUGAACCAGGCAGCCAGGGCUCAGAAAGAACAAGAAAGGGUGAGCUUAUUCAGAGCAAGUCUCAGAGGCUGAAAACAUUCUAGCCUAGAUCAGGUUGUACGGAGACUAGAGGCUUCCAGGGCUAGGCUUAGGUUAGCGGACAGAGACAGGAAGCCUCUGAGAGGACAACUCAAUCAGGAGAAUAAAAAGCUACUUUUACAAAGAGUGAGAUCCUGAUUCAGUGAGCCAAAACCAAACCAAUGAACAGGCGAUUUGACACAUCUUAAAGGGCUCAGGCUAUCUGAGGCUCCACGAGGACACUGCCCAGUUAUGAAUGGGCUCCAACAGGGAUGGGCAUUCCCAUCAGAGAAAGAGACUGAAGCAGGAAAUCACAAGGCAGAGCCCUAAAAAAGAGCUUCCAACUGGCUGAGACUAAGUCUCUCUGGAUGACAAAGUACACUCUGGGCAGAGGGUCAAUAAGAGGCAGAAGCCCCAGACACAACCAUAUCAUCUUACAGAGCAGAGCUUCUCUACCCAGCACCUGGGCUGACAACCUCCCUCACCUCCCAAAGGCUGAUGGUGAGGGUUCCCCAGCAUCCUUUCAGCAGACAAAAGGAGUAUCUCUAUCUUGACCUGGGGCCUAGACUAAGCAUCACCAUUGUUGGGCAAACAGGCACUAUACCUACAGGUUAAGUCCUAGCAGACACACCACUCCCUGGACAAACCCCCCAAACCUGAGUUCCUUUGAGCCUUUAGACUAACUUCCCGCUGACAAAGAAACGCAUCAGAUGGUCGGACUUCG